rnacentral:lncRNA from 1 species
AUCCAAGACUCCAAGUAUUAGCUUUAGCACAAGCCUAGCUAAAAUUGCUAUUGGAAAAUGGCCCUUUCGAUGGCAAAAUUGAUAGAACUUCCACUUUCGCUGCGUUUCUUCUCCACAAUCCUUUUUCUUGUCCAAAAACAAGCCCAUUUUCUCAUCUUCUCAUUAAACUCUUUUCUUCUUCAAUCCCGUCAUACGUACACUUUUGUUUACCUACGGCUUGACACGGUUACGUGGCGAAAGGGAAAAAGAGGUAAUGGGUCAAGUCUUUUAAACCGGCCCAAAGUGAAGAAAACCCUUAUCAUUUUUCCACUUUCAUUUUCCCCAGAUUCGGAAAACCCUCUCAAGCAAAACAAUUGAUGCGAGUAGAACUGAGGCUACAAUCCUCCAUCCUAACCAUAUUAAGAAAACAAUGCUUAAUUUGGUGAUCAUCUCCAUGUUCGGAUUUCCCAUCCUAAGUUAAUUGGACGGUUGUGAGAAUUUUUUUUGUAGCCGCAAGAGCGAAGCCCACUGUAUGCAAUCGUCCGUCACCGAUGCCUUUGCUCUGGGGAAAUUUUGAGCAAAAAUUAUGUAAGUAUGAUAGUUGGUCAUCGCCUUUUACUAUGGUAUGAUAUAUGGUCAUUGCUUUCUAUGGUGGUCAAGUAAUUUCAGUUUCAACCAAUGAAAAAAUCUCACUCUCAUCCCUACUUCUUUGCAGAAACUGAUAUUACGAGUCUAUCCAAGAUUGUUUAAAAUCUUUCCAAAUUUGAUUGUGGUCAUUAUUAGUUUAGAUGUAAUUACUAAUGAGUAAGUAGUGUUUCAAUUAGUAGAAUGGUUUGUUCAAAUCUAUUGGAAGAAAAAACUAAUGGAGUAUGAGGUUUGCAAAUUUGUUGAUUUUACAGUGUUAUAUGAUGGUUGUCUAAUGUAGCGUAAUCUGUCUAUCGAUUGUAUGUAGUAUGCCAGGAAAAAACUUCGGACUUUGUCAUAGCUGUAAAGAGAAGGAGAACUUCUUUGCAGAUUGCCUGAACAAACGGUGAUACCCAUGGUGUAAAAAUGGAUUUGUGAAGUGCUUUGAGGUCAAGAGAGAGAGAGAUGAAGAACAAAGGAAAAUUAUUCAAUUUGUUGCAGUGCUAACUAUAAAUAUUGGGAAUGGGUCGACAAGGGAGAAUCAAGCUGUGAAUCGAGUAAAACUCGAAUAAUCAUGCAGCAUUCAAAGAAGUUCAGCAGUUCUCUCGCAUGUUCUAGUCUCUUUGUCGGGUAACCGAGAUUGGAACAUUGAGAUUUCUUUGAACGUGACAAUAAGGCUAACAAAAGUGUGGGAGUGGAUGAGAAAGGGAAGGAGCCAACAUUAUUAGUGGUUAUAUUCUCUUAGGCUACAUCACUAUCGCCUUUAAUGUGCAAUAUGUGUUGUGUUAUGUGUAGUUGAUGUGUAAUAUGUGCUGUUAGUGAAUUGAAGAAGUUAUUGUAAUAUGUUUGCUUUUGAUGUUUUAAUCGCUAUGUUAACGAUGUUGGUAUUGAUAGUAGUGGACUGCAAUUUAUGUUCUUCAUUAUGUUAAGUGCCAUAGCCAUGGAUUUGAACAAUAUUGCCUGGAUUGGAAGUGGCCUUGAGAAUGCUGGAUGGUUAUCAGAAAGUGCAAGUGACAAAAGAGUAUCAGAAGGUUUCUCCACGUCCAUGAAUAGUUUUGAACAAAACAAUGAAAAUGCUCUUUCCAGGUCUUCCUAUUCUUCCAGGCCUUGUACAUGGUACUUUGGAGCCUUGUGAACCUGCACCAAGCAAUUAUCUAUUAUUUAGUUUACAAAAUUAAUCAACUUUCAAAAGUCC